rnacentral:tRNA from 1 species
UCCCUGGUGGCUCAGAUGGAAAAGAACCCACCUGCAAUGUGGGAGACCUGGGUUUGAUCCCUGGCCUGGGGA